rnacentral:lncRNA from 1 species
UUCAUUAUUAAUAAUUUACCUGUCAGUUUCUGGAAAUACAAUGAUGAAUAAGAUAUCAUCUUUGCUCCCAAACAGCAUUUUUAAAUUGUGUCAUCUCUAAUCGGUCAGUUGUGUCUUUUCUUCAAUAUAUUUACUGCUUUUCACUGUUCCAAAAUCACUGCAGAAGUACACUGUGAGUUUGUGGAACAGCAUUAUUUUUCCUUUAGGGGAUUCUUGUACCAGAGAUUCCUGCUACAAAGAAAAUCUGCCUCAUUGUCUACUUUCAGAUGUUCUCAAAAGGAUACAAGUAAAUGAGCCAUGUGAAGAAUUGAGUAAAGCACCAAGCACCUUGUCAACUAUCCAUCAAUGUUAGUCAUCAUCAUCAUCUUCAGUAGCAGCAGCAGUAGCAAUCUUCUGAUCAUCGACAAAACUUGCCCUACCUGAGUUCUUCCUACUAUGAGGUGUAUCUCCAAGCCACCUUCUUCCUCAACCAUAGUUCCCCUGGCUUUCCAGUAAAGGAUUUCCAGUGAAAGAGGGUAAAGCCAUAUGCACGCAUUUUCUUUUCUCUUUCUCAUCUCAUC